rnacentral:rRNA from 1 species
CACUCUCGCAAACGCCCCACCAUGAUCUUCAAACUUGACUUCAGAAAAGCCUUCGACUCGGUUGCCUGGAACGCCCUAGACAAAAUACUGGCUGUCCGUGGUUUCUCCCAAACUUUCCGAAACUGGAUUCAGAACAUGCUCACCACUGGCAAGACUGCCAUCCUCUUAAAUGGCAUCCCAGGUCGAUGGAUUCCAUGUAAGAAUGGACUGCGCCAGGGAGACCCGGCCUCCCCCUAUCUCUUCCUAAUUGUCGCCGACCUGCUCCAGCAGCUUAUCCUCCAAAACCCUGACCCUAAUCUUCACCAUCCCAUCUUCACCCACAUGCCCCCUACCAUUCUCCAAUACGCCGACGACACACUGAUCGUUGUUGCUGCCUCACCCAACGCUGCUGCCACACUCCAGAACAUACUCCAGCUCUUCGCCCAGGCCACUGGCCUCACCAUCAAUUUCUCAAAAACCACCCUAGCAACCCUGCAUACAAACGAUAGCUGCCAGCAUUGCCCUCGCCAUGAACUGCUCACGUGCCUCCCUCCCUCAAACCUACCUCGGCCUCCCACUUGCCCCGACCAAGCCUCCCUCCAACGUAUUCGCCCCGCCGAUUGA